AAAGUUUGGAGUCUAUAAUAAAAUACGCGACGUUACGAGUCUGUGAGAAUUUUCAGGGAAUUUUUCCUACACCGGAACUAUUUAUUAUGAAUUUCUGAAGUUGGAAAAUCAUAGAAAUUCAUUUUAAGUAAAGAGAAAACCCACGGUGCAAUCUGAGGCGUCCAAAUUCUCACCGCCUCAUCGUAGCCGUUGAAAUUCAAUUAAGGGAGGCUAUAAAUAGGGCUGGAUCAGAUCAAACAUCCCAGAAUGAUCGAGAGGUCUCUGGGCUCUUCCACCCGGAUUCUCGACCCGGUAACCCGCAAAGGAGAUCCGACGGAAUCUCCCUCGUCCGGCGACUUCACAGCGGUGCACCGGUCAUGCCCGAUGUGUCUUCUUAUCGUGGUUCCUCCUCUGGUCACGGAUCAUCCAUGCAUGGAGCGAGGAGAGAGAAUCGAAGCCCAAAAGCUUCGGGUUUUCCGGCGAAGUUUUUGCAAUUUCCGGCGAUGCAUGAGAUAUGGAUUUUGGUCCUCUCAUCACGCUCUACGUCUUGCUGAGUUUAGUUUUGGAAUUGAUUGAGUUUUGAUCGACUGGCUCUUUUGGGUGUUAUCGGGUUCGAUGGAGCUACUGACGACGGUGGCUUUUCCGGUUUCCUGGGUUCAUCUGCGACGUCCUGGAGCCCGACUUGACACUUGGACGAAGCUUGGGUCACCGAGCAGAUCGAACUGAUGAAGUUGGAUUAUGAUCCGGUUCUGUCAAUUGAUUGUCAAAGGACUCCAGUUACCCGAGGAACGGAAGGUUCGCGACUCUCGGAGUACGUGAAGAAAAGCAUCGGAAUUCAGUGUGGAUGCAGGUACUGUGCACUGGUGACGGGAUUGACGGACGGAGCAGGGUGCGCGGAGAUAGUUUCGGUGAAUAGUAGUAACUGAAUUCAGGUUCUGUGUCUAGUCUUGAACUCUAUCACUUGAGAGUCGUUAAUUUGGAACUUGUUAUUCCUUAUUUCGUCCUGUAUCGGAGUGUACCAACUCUUAUUUACCCUAGUGGAGAUCUAGAAGCGCUUUAGACGAAUAAGUUCGAUAAAUGAUUCUAAAAAGUUUUCACCUCAAAAAGUAUUUCAACGUUUCUGCUACGCGAUUUACGAAAAGCGAUUUAACUAAAAUGCCUUGCGGGUUUUUAGGAUGUAAAUUGAACAUUCAGUUUAUGUCUUAGAGACAUGCGGCACUGUGACGUGCUCAAGCUGAUGAGGUGCAGUUUGGGGCGUUACAAGUUAGAUCUCCUCAUUAAUUGAAACAAAUUAUCCAGAUUUAGUGACUGUUGGUUUCAAAUUUCUAAAGCAACCAAUGGCUACAUUGCACAUGGCCUAAACAACUGUUUCUUUUUUGCGCUACGCGACAAAAGCAUGUUCCACACUCGUCAAAUGCUUUUGCGAAGUUACGCGACAAGAAUUUGCGCUUGACCCAAAACCUGUAGGAAUCACAAUAUACACUUCUAAUUCGGAAGAAUCAUCCCUAAAGAUAGACUACCCAAAACCUGUAGAAAUCACA